rnacentral:rRNA from 1 species
GGAGGGGGCUAGCGUUGUUCGGAAUUACUGGGCGUAAAGCGUACGUAGGCGGCUUUGUAAGUCAGAGGUGAAAGCCCACGACUCAAUCUUGGAACUGCCUUUGAGACUGCUUCGCUUGAAGAUGGGAGAGGUUAGUGGAAUUCCGAGUGUAGAGGUGAAAUUCGUAGAUAUUCGGAAGAACACCAGUGGCGAAGGCGGCUAACUGGACCAUUCUUGACGCUGAGGUACGAAAGCGUGGGGAGCAAACAGGAUUAGAUACCCUGGUAGUCCACGCCGUAAACGAUGAUAACUAGCUGUCGGGGCUCUUGGAGCUUCGGUGGCGCAGCUAACGCAUUAAGUUAUCCGCCUGGGGAGUACGGCCGCAAGGUUA